rnacentral:tRNA from 1 species
AAUUGAUUAGUUAUAUGGAUAACAUAUGUUUUGAAAGCAUAAUUAAGAGGUUCGAUUCCUCUAUUAAUUU